ACAAGGAUUGAGCUAAAAAGUCUUCUAUUAAAGACUGUUUUUGUCGGCUUACUUAACGUAGUAAUAUACUCAAGUCCAAAAAAAAAAAAAAAAAUUAAAAGAUUUACUUAAAGCGAGCAGAUUAAUUGCAGCAUCUGAUGGUAGUAGAUGUUUAUUCUCUGUUUACAUUUUUUUAAAGUUGACUUCAUGGGGAAUCUCUGGGGAAUGAGGAUAAUUUCCUGGAAUAAUUUUUUUUAAUCCAGGUAAUAUGCAUGUGGUAACAUCUACCCCUACAUCGGGUUCAAGGCCAGUCUUGUUCUAACCGUGCAACAUAGAGCCAGAGCCAAAGUAUACUAAGCAGCAAAGCAAGCACUCAAAAUCAUGGAUGACAGUAAGACCUGAAGCUGUUACAUAAACAAUUAGCACAAAUAAAGAGAAGUAAUCCAGCAAAUUCAACAGCAGUCAAAAUGUAGGGGCCAUAACAGUGAGCAGGAGAUGGGCCAGU